GUGCCAGCAGCCGCGGUAAGACAGAGGUGCCGAGCGUUAGGCGGAAUCACUGGGCUUAAAGCGUGUGUAGGCGGGCCGUUAAGUAUCUUGUGAAAUCCCCCGGCUCAACCGGGGAAUGGCUGGAUAUACUGGCGGUCUUGAGCGAUCUAGGGGCAGAUGGAACAAGUGGUGGAGCGGUGAAAUGCGUAGAUAUCACUUGGAACGCCAAAGGUGAAGACAGUCUGCUGGGGAUCUGCUGACGCUGAGACACGAAAGCCAGGGGAGCGAACGGGAUUAGAUACCCCGGUAGUCC
rnacentral:rRNA from 1 species